GCUUCAGACUUAGUUUAGUUAGCUUAAUCAAGUAUUUUAGUAUAGUUAGCUUAGUUGGUUAAGAACCUUUAUUUUGUUUUCUCCCCAUUUUUUUUUAAGGAGGAACUAGGGGGUGGAGGGGGUUGCCCAGAACUAGUUAACUGCCACUGCAGGUCCAAGACAGGGAGAGCACAUGUGCGGCCCAGCCAGGUACUACUGUCAAAAUUCUCUGACUAAAGGCGCAGGGUGCACAGUCACAUAAAGUGGAUCACUCACAGGGGCUCACAUCUCAAAGAACUUCAGUUACUGCACAUGUGAGUACACACAAGUGCCUAGGAAUCUCGUCAUGGACCAGGAGCUCAUUGAAUUAGGAUUUUUCCCAAAAUUUUAAGGAACAAUGGGGCCAAGUCAAGAAACUAUCUCAAUGUGUACCUCAAAUAUGGGAGAAGUGUGGAAAACUUAAAUAUGUUUUAAAGGGACACUUCUCUUGUUUAUUUUGAAUGUCUUAUUUUUGCAAAUUCUAUUUUCUGAUAAAUAUCCUUUAGU